CAUCAGGGAGCAAGCUCCCAUCUGUCCGCUCGACUUGCAUGUAUUAGGCACGCCGCCAGCUUGUAACACCCGAAGUCGGUGAGGUAACCUUUUAGGAGCCAGCCGCCGAAGGUGGGACAGCAUCAGGGAGCAAGCUCCCAUCUGUCCGCUCGACUUGCAUGUAUUAGGCACGCCGCCAGC
rnacentral:rRNA from 1 species